CUGUGCAGGUGUCGUGCAGUUUAUAACUCUAAUACUCCUCCUCAAGAUAUAGUGUAAAUGUUCUUCACAGACAUCUUGGACAACAAAGGAAAAAGUGUUGAAGCUGGAAGGGGUUUAGUGAAAACAUCAGCAAGCUGAUGCUGUGACCGAACAUGGAGGAGUUUAACCAUUCCAGCUGCAAGUUUGUCUAGUAUGAAGUGGCAGUCAGUCUCGAUAUGUUUUGUCCGUUCAUGAAAAAUGGGAUUUGUAGCAAUAUUGAUGGCAGCAUGAUUAUCACAGAAAAGGACUAUAGGAGAAGCUGUCACCGUGCCAAAAUCCCUGAAUAGCUGGUUAAUCCAAAUGAGUUCAUUAAUGGUGGCAGCUAGAGCUCUGUAUUCUACUUCAGCUGAAGAACGAGACACGGUAGAUUGGCGUUUGGCUUUCCAAGAUAUUAAGGAGUCACCAAGAAUUAUACAAAAUCCGGUGGUGGACUUCCUUGUGUCAAGACGAGCCCCAGUCUGCAUCUGAAAAGGCUCUAAGUUUGAUGGCUAGCCUAGAAUAAGAUUUUGCAGACAAGAAUAUGCCUUGACUAGGACAUCCUUUCAAGUACCGAAGGAGAUGAUGCACAGCUUUGAGAUGUGGCAUUCUAGGUUCAGAUAAAAAUUGGCUUAGUUUGUGGACUGCAAAUGUAAUGUCCGGACGUAAGGUAGUCAAAUAUAUCAGCUUUCCAAUUAAACGCCUGUAGUGAGAAGCAUCCAGUAGUAAGUCUCCAUCAUGAUUGCUCAAAGGGAUCUUGGGAUCCAUGGGUGUGUUUGUAGGCCUGCAGUCAAGAUAGCCAGAAUCUUCAAGUAGUUAUAGAGUAUAGUGCCGUUGUGAAAUGACAAUUCCUGAGUUUGAAUGAGCAACUUCAAUGCCUAAAAAGUAUUUCAAAUAACCCAAAUCUUUCAGUUUGAACUGGGAAUGGAGAAACUCCUUCAAUGAGUUAAUGACUUGAAUGUUUGGUCCAGUGAUGACAUUGUCAUCAACAUACACAAGUAAAGCCACAUAAUCAUUUCCAGAUCCUUGAGUGAACAAAGAAUAAUCGGCCUUUGACUGAGUGAAACCAUAUCGAAUUAGUGCUUGUGUGAAUUUUGAAUUCCAUUGCCUGGAGGCCUGCUUUAGGCCAUAAAUGGAUUUACGCAGCCUGCAAACCAGCCUCUCCCCCUGUUUAGCAGUUUUGGGAACCUCAUAUCCAGGUGGAAUGUCCAUAUAAACUUCCUCAAACAAGUCUCUAUUUAAGAAGACAUUGUUAACAUCAAGUUGAACCAAAUGCCAAUAAUAGUAAGCUGCAAGUGCCAACAAUACUUUGACAUUGUCAGAUUUAAAGGCAAAUGCAGCCUCUAUUCUGAUCAAUGUUCAUUUGUGUGCUUAUCCUUCUUUGAUUUUCCUCCUGAGAAAUCAAAGCAAAUGCCUUAUUAAUUGGGGGCACUGGAUCCAUGAGUAGCAAUUGGCCUUUGAUUUGGGAGAAUGAGUCAUGUAGUCCCAUGAGGAAUGCCAUUAUGUAUUCCAUCUGGUAGUAAUUGUUCAAUUCCUUCACUCCACCACAAGUACACUUACCGCAACUGUAUGUUGGGCGAUAAUUGCUCAAUUCCUCCCAUAUGGUUUUAAGCUUCGUGAAGUAUAUGCUAACACUACUUUGAUCUUGAGUUAAAUUCAUCAAGUCUCUUCUCAAUUGAAAUAUGCGUGGACCGUUCUUUUGUUGAAACCUAUCUUUGAGGUCAUUCCAAAUUUCAUGUGAUGUGCAUGCAUAAAUCACACUAGCAGAAAUUUCCUUAGAGAUGGAGUUAAGAAUCCACGAAAUUACCAUAUUAUUAUUCCUGAUCCAUGCAUUGAUCAACUCAGCUUUCAAAUCGUCUAGCUUUGUUAUAGUUCCAUCAAUGAAUCCAAGCUUGCUUUUUACGGAUAAUACAAUUAUCAUUGCUCGGCUCCAGGAGGUAUAGUUUUCUUCUGUGAGCAGUUGUGAUACCAACACCAAUCCUGGAUUAUCAGAGUGAUGAAGGAAAUAAGGGCUUGAAGAUUCAUCAAUGGCAGACACGCUGGUGGACGAUCUAAAAUCAAAUCUAUCUUCAAGUUUUG
rnacentral:lncRNA from 1 species